rnacentral:lncRNA from 1 species
CUUUACUGCUGAGACCAUGGUGAAAUUACUCCGAGAUAAAAUUUCAGACUCUUCAAGCCUAUGGCCUGACAGAAUUGGAACUUCCUGAAAUGAAGAAGUCAUCAAGGGCCUACUAAGGUUUUAGGAGUCCUGACUGUGGCACUGUCAAACACACUGAUUUGCUUCACUGAAGCAGAAUGUAUGGUGGGCAUCUUCGCACUUCCAUGCCUGCUGGGAUGAGUCUAAAGUUCUUUAACUGCACUCAGCUGAUGGAUUUAUAUUGGAUCUUACAACAUUUCAGUCUUCAGAAGGAAAUCUCUCAUGAAAUUAAAGCUGAGACUUUUUCCUUCUGAGCGGAACUCUAUUUGAUAAAAGGUUUACAUGAGCUAUCUUCAACUCUCCAAUGAGCUAAAGUUUAUAAUGCUUUAUGUUCUCUGGCAUGUCAUGUGUCCUACCAGAUAGUUGUAUUAAAAGGUCUGUGAGGAAAAUGAGAUGUGAGCUGAAAUGAGAUGAGUUUUGUAGGUUCUUCAGAAGACAGUUGGAAGGAUCUACAUGAGUAGUGAGUAUGGAAGAUGUCUGAUCUGACCAUCCAGAUGUGCAGCUGAGCCACCUGUCUGUGUGAAAUCAGUGGAAGGGAUCAGAAGAAAAUCUUGACUUCAGUCCUCUAAUUCCCAUGCAGGAGAAGGGGAGCUGAGUUUGUAUUCUCCAUCCCCUUAUGCAGUGGUAAGCACUGUAGCCUCUGCCUCAGCAUAUGAAAUAUUCUUAAAAAUCUGUAGAGAUUUCAGCAUUCUAGUACCAUGUCACAGUUGUUGUAGUUCUGCUAGAAAAUGUAAAUAACUGGCCAGAGGAUCCUUGAAGUGAAAGCUGCAUCUUCAUCUUUCUAGCACACCCCACUAGUCUGUGUUUAUCAAAGGAGGGGAAAAAAAGACUAAGGAAAAAAAAACCCUAUAGAAUGCUAUCUGUGCAGACUGCAGAGAGGUUGGUGCAUGAGCAAGGGGUGCUCUGUGACAUCAUGAGAAGGAGAGCAUUCGGGCCCAUUUCUCAAAGGAAGAGCUGUAGCUGUGAAGCUGCAUUGUGCUGCUUCUCCCUUUAUACUACGUUCCUCACCUUUCCAAAUUGUUUGGAAGCCAAUGCAGCAGUGCUACACUUCAAAACCAACUUAAUUAGCAAGCUGAUGACACUUCACCUUGAAUAA